CCUACGGGGGGCAGCAGUGGGGAAUAUUGGACAAUGGGGGCAACCCUGAUCCAGCCAUGCCGCGUGUGUGAAGAAGGCCCUCGGGUUGUAAAGCACUUUCAGUGAGGAAGAACGCCUGGUGGUUAAUACCCAUCAGGAAAGACAUCACUCACAGAAGAAGCACCGGCUAACUCCGUGCCAGCAGCCGCGGUAAUACGGAGGGUGCGAGCGUUAAUCGGAAUUACUGGGCGUAAAGCGCGCGUAGGUGGCUUGAUAAGCCGGUUGUGAAAGCCCCGGGCUCAACCUGGGAACGGCAUCCGGAACUGUCAAGCUAGAGUGCAGGAGAGGAAGGUAGAAUUCCCGGUGUAGCGGUGAAAUGCGUAGAGAUUGGGAGGAAUACCAGUGGCGAAGGCGGCCUUCUGGACUGACACUGACACUGAGGUGCGAAAGCGUGGGUAGCAAACAGGAUUAGAUACCCUAGUAGUC
rnacentral:rRNA from 1 species